UGCAGUCGAGCGGAACGAUGAAAAGCUUGCUUUUCAGGCGUCGAGCGGCGGACGGGUGAGUAAUGCUUGGGAAUAUGCCUUAUGGUGGGGGACAACAGUUGGAAACGACUGCUAAUACCGCAUAAUGUCUACGGACCAAAGGGGGGGAUCUUCGGACCUCUCGCCAUUUGAUCAGCCCAAGUGAGAUUAGUUAGUUGGUGAGGUAAAGGCUCACCAAGGCGACGAUCUCUAGCUGGUUUGAGAGGAUGAUCAGCCACACUGGGACUGAGACACGGCCCAGACUCCUACGGGAGGCAGCAGUGGGGAAUAUUGCACAAUGGGGGAAACCCUGAUGCAGCCAUGCCGCGUGUGUGAAGAAGGCCUUCGGGUUGUAAAGCACUUUCAGUUGUGAGGAAAGGUGUGUAGUUAAUAACUGCAUACUGUGACGUUAGCAACAGAAGAAGCACCGGCUAACUUCGUGCCAGCAGCCGCGGUAAUACGAGGGGUGCAAGCGUUAAUCGGAAUUACUGGGCGUAAAGCGUACGUAGGCGGUUUGUUAAGCAAGAUGUGAAAGCCCAGGGCUUAACCUUGGAACUGCAUUUUGAACUGGCAAACUAGAGUACUGUAGAGGGUGGUGGAAUUUCCAGUGUAGCGGUGAAAUGCGUAGAGAUUGGAAGGAACAUCAGUGGCGAAGGCGGCCACCUGGACAGAUACUGACGCUGAGGUAC
rnacentral:rRNA from 1 species